AGGAUGGGAUGGGGCCGGGUGGAGUGGGGUGGUGGGGAGCAAGGGGCCAAUGGGCAGGAAGACUGUUGCCGGGUGGCAGGGUAUACAAGUCAGUCUUGGCCUGGCUCCCAUUCCUGGAGCUGGACGCUGCGGCCAAGGUAGGACAAGCUGAAAAUCCACAUCCAGAAGCACACGGGGGAGCGGCCCUACCUGUACAUCCAUUGCAACACCAAGUUCGUGCACAAGUAUGACCUCAAGAACCACAUGUGCAUCCACACGGCUCUCCAGAGGAGAACGCUGACUCGGCAGCCCACCAGAUGCCAUUUCAUCCAGAGGGAAUUGCUUCUGACACCCUCUUGUCUUCAGAUGCCAUCGUUCUGGGCAGCCACCUCUUGGAUGCCCAUCUCCGUCUCUGACACUUGCUUCUGGGACCCAUCCGCCAACAUGCCCACGUUCCCCUCCAUCGACCAAGGGAUUGGGGCUGACCCGCACUUUAAAAAGAAAACACAGAAAAAUGAACACAUUGGAAUCCAGUAGUGUUGGGGCUUUUGUUUUUAUUUUGUAAAGGUAAUGAUUUCUUAUAAACUCAGUUUUUCAGGCAACUGGUUCUUUUCGUUUUCUCAUUUGGCUGCAGUGUGGAGUUGUACAUUGUAAAAUAUCCCAAGAUCUUGAGAACUGUAAGAUGGAGAAGAACUCUACGCAAAUGGGUUGUGGGGGGUGGGGUGGUUGUGUUUCGUUUUGGUUCUUUUUGUUUCUCUUUCUUUCCUCC
rnacentral:lncRNA from 1 species